CAGCAGCCGCGGGAAUACGAAGGGGGCUAGCGUUGCUCGGAAUCACUGGGCGUAAAGGGUGCGUAGGCGGGUCUUUAAGUUAGGGGUGAAAUCCUGGAGCUCAACUCCAGAACUGCCUUUGAUACUGAAGAUCUUGAGUUCGGGAGAGGUGAGUGGAACUGCGAGUGUAGAGGUGAAAUUCGUAGAUAUUCGCAAGAACACCAGUGGCGAAGGCGGCUCACUGGCCCGAUACUGACGCUGAGGCACGAAAGCGUGGGGAGCAAACAGGAUUAGAUACCCCUGUAGUCCCUGUCUCUUAUAA
rnacentral:rRNA from 1 species